GUAGUAGAAGGGGCACGGACUGCUGAGGAAAGUCUAGCUCACAGAGAAACCUGGUAGACAUCAAUGUGUCUACUGAUGAGGGGCCUUCCACCUUGGUUCAAGUCAUCGUGGAAACCACAAAUUUCCUUGGAGGAUUUACACCCAUCGAGAUCUAAGUCUGGCUCCAGGUGUGGGGACAAAUUUGAUUGAAGCCCAUUGACAGAUGCUAACAAUAUCAGUACCAGUUAAAGCCAACACUCGGAACAGCAGUGACAAUAAAAGCGCUCAACCGACUGCGAGCACCCUGCCAGAGAUAUCUAGUUCAAGUAAUAACACAACAGAAAGCCAGCAACAGAGAUAAAAUGGUCCAAUCCAAUUUGGCAAGCUAAUUUUUCUAAAGCCCAGAAAUUUAUUUUUGCAAGGUUAACUUUUUGGCUUGCUGUCAAGUUGUAGUAAAUCUCCAAGAUAUUGAUUGAUGCCUUCCCCAGAUCCAAUACUUUGCUGCUAUCUAUUUUUCAGACAACACGAGAAAGCUGCCACUGCUCCUGCCAACGACGCCAGCAAUUCAUCCAUCAAAAAGGAAUCAACAAACUCGGAGAGUGAUGACGUUGCAAGACCAGGAGCUACCAAGGAGUCGAGCUGGCAGCUGAGGUAGCCACGGAGAAAAAGACAUGUCGAAGGGGUGAAGGUGUUGAUUCAUCUUCCUCGUCGAUCUACUGCCAUGUUCACCGUAAUCCGAUUACCUCGAAAGAUAAUCCUCCGCCAGGAUUUUGCCAGUGGCUUCACACGUUCCAGUGGUCGAACGCUGAGCGUUUAUGUGCUGCCAUUGACCAACUGAUAGAGCUGUGUGAACCCACUCAAGUCCGUCACAUGAUGGCUGUUAGCAAGGAUGUUAGUGAACCACAGUUCCAACGCGAUUUCAUAUCGCUGCUGCCCAAAGAACUGGCUCUGCAUUUUCUCAGAUUCCUGACCCCUCGCU
rnacentral:lncRNA from 1 species